AAGAGGUCACACCCGUUCCCAUACCGAACACGGAAGUUAAGCUCUUUAGCGCCAAUGGUAGUUGGGACUUUGUCCCUGUGAGAGUAGGACGUUGCCAGGC
rnacentral:rRNA from 2 species